rnacentral:lncRNA from 1 species
UACUAGUAUUUUCUUUUCCGUUUUAGUUUAAAUACUGUUUCUUCUUUGAGGCGUGCCGACUGUCUCUAACAGUAAAGUGUGUAAUCUUUGAGGUGUUCCGACUGUCUCUAACAGUAAAGUGUGUAAUCUUUGAGGUGUGCCGACUGUCUCUAACAGUAAAGUGUGUAAUCUUUGAGGUGUGUCGACUGUCUCUAACAGUAAAGUGUGUAAUCCGACUGUCUCUAACAGUAAAGUGUGUAAUCUUUUAUAAAUUUAUUUAAGAUUCCAUCAUUAUUAGUGAUUUGUGAAAUUGAUUUCAGUAUUUACUCACAAAAACAUCACAGUUCAAGUUGAUUGACGUCAAAUUAAAUUCGCUUUUAAAAUAUGUAAUUUGAAAUAGGUUUUUUUCCCCGAGCGUCAAGAAAACAUAUUCAAAAUAUUCCAAUUUGAAAUAUUUUAAGAUAACACUCUGCUUCAAACGGUGUCUUCUGCCUCUCAGUCUUUGUAUGUUUGGAAAGCUUUUAUUUGUCUUAUCGUCAUUUUUUGUAGUUUUGUCGGUUUUUGUCUCGCUUGACGGAGUCGACAAUGACGACGACGGCGUCAACAAUGUAUUAGUUUGUGAUUAGUUCUAGUUUAUGGUUAACCACUAGAGGUAGGUCAAUGAUAUUUGGUAUGCAGUUGUUAUAGUAUUGGCACAUCUCAUUACCAGGGGAGAUUGUUUGACCCGCCCCUUCAGUCAUGACUAAAGAC